rnacentral:lncRNA from 12 species
GGGUAACUGACACAUUUGCUGAAACCCAUGAAGGUGACAUCUCCUUUGAAAUAAUCCAGAUUAUUCAUUUGCAUGUGAAGACACAAACUAAAGACUUAGCUGACUGUCCCCCAUGAAGUGGCCCUCUACAAACUAGAACAGUGACAUCUGUUAAAUGAAGCCCAAAUUCCUUUUCUUCCAGGCUUUCAUGGAAGUCUGCCUAAAGGAAGAACAGCUGAGAAACCGCCCCUGAGAUUCCUCCCCCAGAAUCUGAGUAACCACCUCAGAAGGCAGGCGGGUGAAUCACUGAGCCCACAGCGCUCUCCUUGGGGGGGUGCGACAGGCGCGCCAGAAACGCCUCACACUUUACAUUCUGCAAGUGCAGUUGAGCUGAAUCAUUGACUAAUGACUAACCUGCCCUGCCCUGUACCCAAGGCGCCCAAAUUGCCGAUGAGCUAACUGUUGGCCAGGUGCACACGACUAAGAGAAAUCAUACUUCUGCUAAGCAGCCGUCACCUGAACAUUUAAUUGCCUGGAGAAAGCUCCAUCAGGAAGAGUUGUGUGUGCCCUCUUUGACAAAUCCAAGCACAGACAGAGACAAGGUCGGACGUGUCUUUAUCCAUCAGAGAUUGGCACCGCCACAUCAAGGUGAUCCAUGUUGAAUGCAAUGGCCUAAAUCAGCCCAGGAGCUCAAAAGGGACUGCUCACUUUUAGGAGCAGAACUUCGUCCUUCCAGUUUGUAUGCAUCUGCUGAGGUCAAGGGAAAAUCUCCUGCCUUCCAACACUCACCCUUCCCUCGACCUUGAUUAGUAUCUGGAAGAGCUGACAAACCAUACUUUGGCUAUCCAAGCUUUAAUCCAUACCUAAAGGAAAUCAGAGAGCAUUUUUGCACAAUGCAAUGUGCCUUUUGCAUUCAUUUGUAGCAGGUAUACAAUGAGAACUGCCACAAAGUGCACUCAGGUAGGUGGUUCUUUCCCUG